CUUCAAAUCCCUAAAUUUCUUUGAAGUUGCCAUGGGAGAAGCACCAAACUGUAGCUGCGGUAUACCAGCCAUAGUGAAGACUUCGUGGACAGCUGAGAACCUAGAAAAGAAAUUCUAUGGAUGUGCCUAUUAUGAAGUAAGUCUUUGCUUCAGAAUAUUUUGUUUCCUUUUUUGGAGAAUCUAAGCUCCUAAGUUGAACAAAAUGGUUCUCCAUGACCAGCAUAAUAAUGGCGGAGGCGGCUGUGCCCUUCAAGUGGCAUGAAACAAGCGGCUGUGAGAGGUGCGAUAAAUUGGUGAGGCACACACGGAGGUUAACAAAGAAGGUGAAAGAUUUGGAGAUUGAUGUGGAGAAAAGAAAACAAAAAGAGCGCAGAAUGAAUCUUAUGCUAUUCAUGGCCAUUGUUACUGUAAUCUAUCGGUGGCUUUGGAAAGAGUAAUUUGGCACUGGUUGCAUAUGUUUGUCUGGGUUGUGAAUUAGGGGUCUCUGGCGUAGUAGCUAUUAGGUAAUGUAAGGGAUCUCUGGUUGCAUAUGUUUGGCACUAGUUGCAUAUUACUGGCAUAGUAUGAAGAUAAUGCAAGGGAUUUAGAUAACUAACAAAUGUAUUGUUAAAGUAGCAUUGGAAUAUAAUGCUUUGUUUAGCAAUCUACAAAUUACUUCAGAGUUUGCAAUGUUGCAUGUGUUGUCCAAAUUGAUUACUUUUAUUGCUUUAUCAUCAUUAUCUUAGACCUUUAGUGAUA
rnacentral:lncRNA from 1 species